GUUUCAUGAGUAUAGCAGUACAUUCGGCUUCCAACCGAAAGGUUUUUGUAAACAACCAAAAAUGAAAUA
rnacentral:tRNA from 11 species